rnacentral:rRNA from 1 species
GAAGGGGGCUAGCGUUGCUCGGAAUCACUGGGCGUAAAGGGUGCGUAGGCGGGUCUUUAAGUCAGAGGUGAAAUCCUGGAGCUCAACUCCAGAACUGCCUUUGAUACUGAGGAUCUUGAGUUUGGGAGAGGUGAGUGGAACUGCGAGUGUAGAGGUGAAAUUCGUAGAUAUUCGCAAGAACACCAGUGGCGAAGGCGGCUCACUGGCCCGAUACUGACGCUGAGGCACGAAAGCGUGGGGAGCAAACAGGAUUAGAUACCCUGGUAGUCCACGCCUUAAACGAUGAAUGCCAGCCGUUGGUGGGUUUACUCAUCAGUGGCGCAGCUAACGCUUUAAGCAUUCCGCCUGGGGAGUACGGUCGCAAGAUUA